AUCAGAAUGGCUCAGUUGGUAGAGCGUUACCACGGAAUGGUAAAGGUCCUAGGUUCGAAUCCCGAUCUAGUUCCA
rnacentral:tRNA from 1 species